UGCCAGCCGCCGCGGUAAUACGUAUGUGGCAAGCGUUGUUCGGAAUCACUGGGCAUAAAGAGUUCGUAGGCGGAUGUAUCAGUUGGGUGUGAAAUCCCGGGGCUUACCCCCGGAACUGCACCCAAUACUGUAUAUCUGGAGUCCUUCAGGGGUAAGUGGAAUUCCAUGUGUAGCGGUGAAAUGCGUAGAUAUAUGGGAGAACGCCAAUGGCGAAGGCAGCUUACUGGGGAGUGACUGACGCUGAGGAACGAAAGUUAGGGUAUCGAACGGGAUUAGAUA
rnacentral:rRNA from 1 species